UACGUAGGGUGCAAGCGUUGUCCGGAAUUAUUGGGCGUAAAGAGCUCGUAGGCGGUUUGUCGCGUCGAAUGUGAAAACCCGGGGCUCAACCCCGGGCCUGCAUUCGAUACGGGCAGACUAGAGUUCGGUAGGGGAGUCUGGAAUUCCUGGUGUAGCGGUGAAAUGCGUAGAUAUCAGGAGGAACACCUGUGGCGAAAGCGGCUCACUGGACCAUAACUGACGCUGAUGCACGAAAGCUAGGGGAGCAAACAGG
rnacentral:rRNA from 1 species